GCGGGCUUGGUGGCACAAGCCUGUAAUCCCAGUGUCUCUGGGGGCUGAGACAGGAGGAUCAUGGGUUCAAAGCCAGCCUCAGCAAUGGUGAGGUGCUAAGCAGCUCAGUGAGAUCCUGUCUCUA
rnacentral:sRNA from 1 species